rnacentral:rRNA from 1 species
AUGGCACCUGCAAUAACUCUGCGCUCUCUUUCUCCGCAUGGCAUCCUCGUUCUCUUCACCCAUCUUCUCAUAUUGUUCUUGUCCAACACCGUCGCAGAAUCCAUCAGCAACGGGUCCGAGGUCGACCUGCAGGCCCUCCUCUCCUUCAAGUCCAGCAUCUCCAGUGAUCCGCGUGGUGUCCUGUCAUCAUGGAGCACCUCGACCAGCUUCUGCAGCUGGAGUGGUGUCACCUGCGGUAUUACUCUUCCAACUCGUGUGGUCUCGCUGAACUUGAACUCUAGACAACUUAGUGGUCAGUUAUCUCCUUGGAUAGCUAAUCUUACGUCACUAGAACGGUUAGACCUUUCAGAAAAUCUCUUCUCUGGAGGCAUUCCAGAGGAGUUAGGCACACUUCAACAGCUACAGUUUAUGAUCCUUUCAAUGAAUAACCUUGUAGGUACCAUUCCUAGAUCAUUAGGCACUAGUAGAUCUCUUAAAAGUGUUGAUCUCUCAUUAAACCAGCUUGUCGGCCCUAUCCUAGAUUUCCAUAAGAUGUCAGCCCUUCAAUUUCUUGAUCUUUCAAGUAACAACCUUUCUGGAAGCAUACCUUCAUCAUUGGGAAAUGUUUCUUCUCUCACAUAUAUACGUCUUGACACAAACAUGUUAUCGGGUUCAAUCCCAUCUACAAUAGGUAAUCUUUCUCGGCUGAACAAGCUUUAUCUACACAACAAUGAGUUGACUGGGAACAUCCCAGCAACUUUAGGAAAUUGCAAUCAACUGUAUAUGCUAGAAGUAUCUUUUAACAGCCUUAAAGGACCAAUACCAAGUGAACUCUUCAGUGGCACAACACUGAUCAGUUUGGAUUUGUCAAACAACUACCUUACAGGAUCAAUACCACUACAAAUUGGUGGAUUGAUUCAACUUCUCCGACUCGAUAUUUCCUUUAACAAAUUGUCUGGUCAAGUUCCACUUUCAUUUGGCGAAUGCGUUGAACUAUCUUCUCUCAGAUUGAGAAGUAACAUGCUUAAUGGAAACAUACCUCGAUCAUUCAAUAACCUGAAGUCCAUCGAGCGGAUUGAUCUUUCCCAGAACUCCCUUGUUGGAAAAAUUCCAGAGUUCUUUGCAAACAUGGAUUAUUUGUAG